UCCAUCAUGGUGUAAAGGUAACAUACCCGCCUCUCAUGUGACCGUGUGGUCCUGAGGAUAACGCGAGUGCUCGGGGUUUGAUUCCCCGUGUUGGAA